UACGUAGGGUGCAAGCGUUAUCCGGAAUUAUUGGGCGUAAAGAGCUCGUAGGCGGUUUGUCGCGUCUGCUGUGAAAACUGGAGGCUCAACCUCCAGCCUGCAGUGGGUACGGGCAAACUAGAGUGCGGUAGGGGAGAUUGGAAUUCCUGGUGUAGCGGUGAAAUGCGCAGAUAUCAGGAGGAACACCAGUGGCGAAGGCGGCUUCCUGGCCUGUUCUUGACGCUGGAGGCGACG
rnacentral:rRNA from 1 species